rnacentral:rRNA from 1 species
GCGAGCGUUAAUCGGAAUUACUAGGCGUAAAGCGUGCGCAGGCGGCUUUGCAAGACAGAGGUGAAAUCCCCGGGCUCAACCUGGGAACUGCCUUUGUGACUGCAAGGCUAGAGUACGGCAGAGGGGGAUGGAAUUCCGCGUGUAGCAGUGAAAUGCGUAGAUAUGCGGAGGAACACCGAUGGCGAAGGCAAUCCCCUGGGCCUGUACUGACGCUCAUGCACGAAAGCGUGGGGAGCAAACAGGAUUAGAUACCCUGGUAGUCAAGGGCG